rnacentral:rRNA from 1 species
ACAUGCUGCGUAAUCCAGAUGCACAUCGUACCAAAACACAUCCGCCCGAGAAUUACGAGCACAAACGCUUGAAACUCUAAGGACUUGGCGGUGCCCCAAACCCACCUAGAGGAGCCUGUUCUGUAAACGACACCCCACGCUACACCCUACCACUCCUCGCCAAAACAGCCUACAUACCGCCGUCGCCAGCUCACCCUAAUUGAAGGACACAUAGUGGGCACAAUAACCACCCCGUUAGCACGACAGGUCAAGGUAUAGCCUACGGAGUGGAAGCAAUGGGCUACAUUUUCUAAUAUAGAACACCCCAACGGAAGGAGACAUGAAAUUGUCUCCAGAAGGCGGAUUUAGCAGUAAAGCAGGAUAACAUAAGCCUACUUUAAGUCGGCCCUGAGGCACGUACACACCGCCCGUCACCUCCUU